AAACUCCUUUUAUUGUAUGCUUGAAUGCAUUUUGGAACCAAAAAUGAGGUGAAUAAUAUUUUGGCAAGUGGAGAAGCUGUAAGAUGUUGAGUAAAUUGAUGGAGGAAGUGAGAAAAGAGAGAGAAGUAAUGCCAGAAAAAAAUGGGAAAACACUGAAAAACAGGAAGUAGGAUGGUGCAAUAUGUAUAUAAUUCUGCAGAUUUAUGAAGUGGCCUGUGAAUAUCUCAAGAUUUCAGUUCAUCCCCUGUGGCUCUGACUGACUGUGCUCCAGAGAAGAAGAUGCCCAUGGUGCUGGCUGGAUGCAGCCUUGGAGAUCCUGGAGCCUGGCUGAGCAGGAACAAUGCAUGGAGCUCUAUGCUUAGUGCAGAGGAGUGAGAAGUGAGGACCUCUACCUUCAAAGACUGCAUUUCAACUGGGAAAAUAUCAAGCCAGCUGGCAGCAAACACAGAGGACAGAUAACACUCAGGGAGGAGAAAUGAGCAACAAGUACUGCCACCAGGGCUAAAUGAGAAUAAGAAAGGGACGUCUUCAGAAGAGUGGUGAUGUUUGUAGUUGCCCUAAAAGGAUUAAUAGGGAAAAUGGCAUAAGAGUACCAGUGUCAGCAGAGAUAUGGAGUGUGGUAGAUUGGAUUAAGUGCCCUUCAAAAGACAUGUUCUUAAUCUUCAUCCUCGUUUCUGCAAAUGUGAACCCAUUUGUAAAAUAUGACCCUUUGAAGAUGUAUUAUUAGUUAAGAUGUGGACGCACUUGUGAAUGGAUCUUCUAAGAUCUUCUUUAGGUGCAGCCAAAGGAAUGAGGUAAGCUUUAAUCUGUAUUACUGGAGGUCUUUAUAAGCAGCAGAAAUUUGGACACCGGCAGUCAGAGAAGGCCACCAAGAAGAAACCAGAAAUCAGCGGAAACCCAAAAAACAGACACAAGGAGAGAGAGAGACCAUCAUGUCAUGGGAGGUAGAGAUGCAAGCCAGGGAACCCCAAGGAUUGUAGCAAGCCAGCCCCAGAACACUACAGACAUUGGGGACAAAGCACAGCCUUUGGGACUUUUGGCUUCCGAAACCAUGAGCCAAUAAUUUCUUGUUAGCCAGUCCAUUGUGUGGCAUUUGUCAUAGCAGCCUGGGAGACUAAGACAUGGCGGUAUGUAGGGUGGAGAGUACCAGGACUGUGUGUGAAAAGUGGCUAGAGGGGAAGCUCGACAGAUUGGGGGGUCAUCAUCACAGAACACCACUCCAUGAAACAUGUGGAGUGAACUUGUCAGCAAUAGAGAGAGACAUCAGUAAGUGGUUAUGGAAGAAAUGAAUAGAUGAAAUUUCCCAUGAAGAUAAUCUGGUCCUACAGUAAAAAUAAAAUUCAUUUUUUUAAACUGGAAAGCUUUGAAUUUCCAAAAUGUUUACUGAGUAUACAUGCAUAGACUUGUUACAUUUAGGCUUAAAUUCUUUCCAGGUAAAAAAAAAACAUCAUUGACUUUGCUGCCUGUAAAUUUGAUAAAAAAAAAUGGCACCAUCUAUUUGGAAAAGUAGCACCAACAUUAUAUUUUUUUAAAAAUCUAUUUGAAUAUUGUCAAUAUUUUACCUCAUUUAUUUAGUUACAUCUCAAUUUUUCCUAAUAAGGCUUUGUAUAGAAACACAGCUGCAAUGCUUUUUUGAAAAAUAAUU